rnacentral:siRNA from 1 species
AGCCUGAACAGACCAAUCCAAUGC